rnacentral:rRNA from 1 species
UACGUAGGUGGCAAGCGUUAUCCGGAAUUAUUGGGCGUAAAGCGCGCGCAGGCGGUCCUUUAAGUCUGAUGUGAAAGCUCACGGCUCAACCGUGGAGGGUCAUUGGAAACUGGGGGACUUGAGUGCAGAAGAGGAGAGCGGAAUUCCACGUGUAGCGGUGAAAUGCGUAGAGAUGUGGAGGAACACCAGUGGCGAAGGCGGCUCUCUGGUCUGUAACUGACGCUGAGGCGCGAAAGCGUGGGGAGCGAACAGG